UGCCUUUUCUUUGAGUAGCUGUCCGCAGACAGGUGGAGCUGCCAAAUAAAGGGUGAU
rnacentral:pre_miRNA from 1 species